AUGCUCCAUCUCAGCUCACAAGCACUAUUGCCAAGGCACAAUGUUAAUGCAUGCGACCUCCUGCGCCUCUCACGGUCCAUGCUCUGCGCAUGCAUGCCAAAUCCCAGUGACCAGGAAUGGUGUGACCUGGGAUUGUACUGGCUGUACUGCAAGCACUUCAUGAAGAUGCCAUGUUCCAGCAUCCCUGUACCCUAUCCUGGUGUUGCAUCUGCUACAGUGGCUGGGCAAGCAAGUGCUAUGACAAAGCUAUAUCCCCUCAACACUGCUGGAGAACCUCUUUCAGAAUACUGGGAACAACAUAAAGGCCAAGAAGAACAAGCUAACAAGAACCUCCAGUGGGCCCUUAAUGCCUUGGCAGAAUGUCUUGUUCCAUCAAGCUGUAUGCUGUGA
rnacentral:lncRNA from 1 species